rnacentral:rRNA from 1 species
UGUGGUUGGGGGUGGGGUUGCGCGGUCCCAUUCCGAACCCGGAAGCUAAGCCCUGGCACGGCGAUGGUACUAUGCCCGAGAGGACAUGGGAGAGUAGCACACCGCCGCAA